UAGGGUAAUUUCGGCAAGUGGGGGGAACCCUGACCGAGCAACGCCGCGUGAAGGAAGAAGGAAUUCGUUCUGUAAACUUCUGUUAUAAAGGAAGAAAGACGGAUGGAGGAAAUGACAUCCGAGUGACGGUACUUUAUGAGAAAGCCACGGCUAACUACGUGCC
rnacentral:rRNA from 1 species